CAAAUGCAAAAUGCAAAUCC
rnacentral:piRNA from 1 species